rnacentral:rRNA from 1 species
UACACGCUGUGACUAGCAUAUCAAUAAGCGGAGGAAAAGAAACUAACAAGGAUUCCCUUCAGUAACGGCGAGUGAAGCGGGAAGAGCUCAAAUUUGAAAUCUUCAAGGUUUUACCUUGACGAAUUGUAGUUUAAAGAAGUGUUUUCUGCUGAAGUUUUGGUAAAAGUUCUUUGGAAUAGGACAUCAUAGAGGGUGAGAAUCCCGUAUUUGACCAUUAUUUUCAGCUUUGUGAUACACUUUCAAAGAGUCGGAUUGUUUGGGAAUGCAGUCCAAAAUGGGUGGUAAAUUUCAUCUAAAGCUAAAUAUUGGCGAGAGACCGAUAGCGAACAAGUAACCGUGAGGGAAAGAUGAAAAGAACUUUGAAAAGAGAGUUAAACAGUACGUGAAAUUGUCAAAAGGGAAGCGUUUGACACCAGUGUUGUUUUCUCGAAAAUCAAUUAAAAAUGGCUCGAUUUUGUAUUGCUUGAGACCUUAAAAGUCUCACUGUACAUUUUUCGUGUCUUUUUUAAUGCACUUUUCGUUUAACAAGUCAACAUCAGUUUCUUUUGUUGUAAAAGGGUCAUUGGAAGGUGGCUUUCUUUUCGGAGAAAGUGUUUAUAGCCUUUGGCCUCUGCAAUCGAAGAGACUGAGGUCUGCAGCGUAGACUCUUCGGGGUUAGAUACAUUUGUGCUAAGUUAUAGCUUUUUAUAGACAACUUGUUGACUAUAAUUAGUCUUGUAGCUUACUCGCUUAUGCUAUUUUACCUACGCUUAGGAUGUUGAGUAGCGACAUACGCAC